AUUUCAGGAGAACAAGGAAGGUCUUGAAUUGCUUAAAACAGCUAUUGCUAAAGCUGGUUACACUGGUAAAGUUGUGAUUGGGAUGGAUGUGGCUGCUUCUGAGUUUUAUGGUAAAGACAAGACUGAUGAUCUAAACUUCAAAGAAGAGAAUAAUGAUGGCUCACAAAAGAUAUCAGGUUAUGACUGAAGGCUCUCAUUUCAUUGGAAAGUUUGGAAGCUACUGCAAGUUCUUUCUACUUGCUAGGGAUGAGAAUAUUUUAGUUUGUGCACAAGAGAAUCUUUUAAGUUUGUGCACAUGAGAAUCUUUCAAGUUUGUAU